GGCUCAGGUCUUUGAAGCCAGCCUCCCGCCUCCUGGCUAUAAGGCCUUGAACAACUGACUUAGCCUCUCCGAGCCUCAGUUUUCCCUCCUGUGAAAUGGAGAUAAUGAUCGAAUCCCCCUCUAGUAGUGCCUCAGAUCUGACAAAUGCUUCAUCUGGACAAGCCCCUCAUGGAGCAGGUAGCCUGCUGGGCCAAGGGGACAUGCCACCCACAGCCUAUACCCCCCUGGCUCCCAACCACACUCCAGCCCCAGGCACCCCACAAUUCCCUCCCCAUGGCCCUGAAUAGCCCAGGGCCACCCAUUUGUAGGCGGUGUGGGCAGAGCUGGAGGUAGAAAGGGAAGCGGGGAGGCUGGGAGGGUCCAGUUUUGCCCAUGCCACCCAUCCUGGUGAGGAACUCUGAGGUCUUCAAGAAAUUUAAAUUUGAGCCUGACCUUCCCAGUCAUUCUGAAAGCACAUUAGCUACAUUUGUCAAGGCAGGAAGAUGGUUUGGUUUACAGCUUUUAAAUAUUUAGACAUGCAGUAGGUGGGCCCUGGGUCCUGCCAAUGUUAGGGGAGGCUGGACACCUUGCAGGGGCUUUGUGUGGAUUAAACAGGAUGGCCCCUGUGCAGUGGUUAGGUUGCAGGUUGCCCAGAACACAGAAGCACAGGUGGUGCUAGUCACUAUCACCAAGAUACAAAAGGCUGAGGACAGGAAUCGGGGUGAGUGUGGCUGCCCCGGGAGGAGUUGAGGAGCAGGAGGAGGAGGAGAGCUGCUUGAAUUCCCUACCCGGUAGGGUGCACACCGGCACAGACUCUUCUGCCGCUGCUGGUGUGCAAAUGCUGGUGGUAUGGCCUCCCUUCUCCUCUAUGGGCACUCAUCCCCACAGGGUCAUCAGGUAGGGCCUCACUGAGGAGGUGUUGCUGUGCUGGCCAGGGAGGGGUCUCACCAUGUCACAGGGAGGCUGUUUAUUAAAGGAAGAAAGCUGUUAGGCCCUGGGACAAGAAUCAAAGCUAGUACUUCUGUUCGUUUUAUAAUUUUGGAAACUUACUAUUAUUGUUAUUUUACUAUAUAACAAUGUAUAGUCAGACCAUUGUCAAAAUGUUAACACAUAGAGAUAAGCCAAGGGAAAAAAAGCCACUGGCAUUCCCCUUGCUGGGGACAAAGCCAUCACGAACAUUAUAUUGGGGAAACCCCAAUCUCUGUGGGUUUGAAACUCUAGGAUGAAAAAAUUUAAUUCUAGAAAUGUCUCCCUGGUCCUGUCGUCUCCCUGCCCAUCCCGUAUCUCCUCCCUUCUGGGUCUGCUCAGCCCUUCCUACCCAGCCUCCGCCUACCCCUGAAUUGCCUGGCUCAGUCCAGCCCCCAAACCUUUGCUCAGGAUACGAAUCAAGACAAGCUACUGGCCAGGCCAAGAGCUCAUCUGAGCUGACCGCUUUGUUUUACUUGGUGGGAAAGGGGGGACACAGAGCGAUGUGGUGGCACUGCUGGGACAAAGGCUCAAGCCUUCUGACUCCCAGUCCGGUGCUCUUCCCUGUAACCUAUAACUGCUUGCCCUCUGUCUGUCUGAUUCCUCUCCAUCCAUCAAACCUCCUGCCUCCUCCAGGGAGCAUUCCUGACUGCCAUAUGAGAAGCCUCUCCCUCCCGCAGCUCACUGAUAAUGAUAAAUAACAUACUGAACACUCAGGCACAAUUCUAAAAACCACAGAAUAACCCUAUUAUCCCCAUUUUAUAGAUAAUGAAUCUGAGGCUUUGAGACACAAAGUAAAUUGCCGAAGAUAACCCGGAGUUGACAGUGGCAGACCAAGCCCUUCACAGCCCCUGCCCUUCUUGACCCUGCCUUCUCCUGGGCGGUUAAGUCCUGACCUUGAGGUCCUUCCAGGCAGCUAGGGUACAGCAGA
rnacentral:lncRNA from 10 species